UGAGAAAACAACGAUAAAGAAUUUGGCAUC
rnacentral:piRNA from 1 species